GUUACUGGUUACUGGAACAUUGGAUGAGCAAAAAAAGGACAAUUAGAACCAAUGUUCUAAGAACAUUCACACAGAUGAACAGGAAAUGCAGUGAGCAAAAUGGCCAUUUUAGGCAAAUAAUUACUGUGAGUCAGCCUGAAAAACAAAAGUUUCCAUCACAUUUUUUGUUAAGCUGCGGGGGGCUUCUAGUAGCUGCCUCCUCCUUUCACCAAAUUACAAUACUGUGCAAAAGUCUUGAGUCACCCUUCAGUUCUUUAUAUUGUGCUUCCAAAGAAGUCAGCGUUUGUUGCAGUUUUUAUGUUCACACCAAACUCGUACCUGACAAUUUUCAGAGGAGCGCUUUUUUUUUUUCUUUGUGUUUGUUUUUUUAUUAUAAAGUCACUGACCUAUGAUUCAUUCACGCUUAACUCAAGGGAUGAACCACUGCUGUGUCUUCUCAUAACAGACAAUGAACCAAUUUUAAAAUUGUAUCUUUACUUUAGGCAAUUUUUUCCUGGCAGCUUGUCACAAAACAUCACUUGUUCCCAUUUUUACAAAUAAUAAAAAAAUAAAAAUGCCAGAAACACAGUUUGACAGCCAUUAAUUAGUAUUUUGAAUCAACAUGGUCCUUUCCAAAGAGCUACUAGAUAAAGAAAUUGGGAAAUCUUGCCAUAGUGUGCAGUGUGUCCUUAAAAAAAAAAGUAAGAAAACAGAGCAUGUGGGGGUCAAAAGAAGACGUGUCAAGCCUGGAAACUAUCUGCAGAUGAACAGUAAAUUGGGGGGCACAUAAAAAAAAUAAAUGGUAAAAACCUAACAUAGGACCUAAGAGCUACAUCUGGCCCUUCAGUUGAUCCACUUACUAAGCAUUCAUCGGGUUUGGAGGAGCGAUGAAUCUCAGUGUCAAAUCUUUCGUUUAAAUUGUCAUCAAUAUGUACAGAGGAGGUCAGGAGGUCGGCAGACAGUGAGUUUCUGCAGCUGUCUAAAACACACUGGAGGCUCGGUCAUUGGUUUGGGGCUCCAUCUGAGCCAGUGGUGUUGGAGAUCUUGUCAGAAUAGAUGAAUUAUAAACACAGAACAGUACUGAUUUUGAUCCAAUGUUAAGAGCUUUCCAAAUAGCAUCAUUUUCAGCAUGAUCCCAAACACACUGCCAGUGCAGUAAAAACAUACCUGAGAAAAAAGAAAGAAAAAGAAUUGUACAAAUGGGUUUUUCCUCAUCUACUAUAUGUACGUUUCAAUAAAUCGUUGCCCCCAUUUCCCUU
ensembl:lncRNA